GGAAGGGGACCCAAACACUAUUCCCACUCCAUCUCAGAAUGUCACAAGAGUGAGAAAAGCGGUCUGAGCCCAGAGCCAGGAAGCCCCCCCCUCGUUCGUCAGGGAUGCAGGAGUAGUAGUUUUCUCUUGUUUUAUUGGUUUGUAUCCCCUGUACACACUGACAGGGGGUCUCAUUCCAGGCUCUCGCACACUUCAAAUGGACCAUGAGGAACAGCGCCUCGCACUUCACACUGAGUGCGCUGGAGACCCCGUGGGAUGAAAUCCACGCUGCUGGUCUUAUUUUUGCAAAGAUGAGGGGAGUCAGCCUAGAGUGACACGAUUCUGCUCAAGUCAUGGAGGGGGUUUCAGCCGUACGGGUCGUCCAUUUCCUUUCAAGCAGGUUCCAACACAGACUGAUGACCAGAAGCUCUCCAGGACUCCUCUGGUACUCCAGCAGCAGACUGAAACUGCUGAGACUACAAUUUUAUGGACUGAAGAACUCCUGGAUCUGUGGUUUUUCCCUUGGAAGACAGCCAUUGCUGAACUACGUGGACCACAGCCUGGGCAACAGAACACCUCUGCACACCAGGCCAGAAGGGGGAAGUGGAGCCCAGGACCAGCAGGAGCCCAGUCCAGUCGGGAGCCAGUGGGGAGUGCAUAGGCGUGAAGGCGUUCCCUGUGGCGAUCUUUGAUGAAGCGUCUCUCUGAGACUUGUUGAGAAGCUCGUGUGGUGGACACGCUAGGUUGAUCUCAGAAGGAAAUGCUGAAAAGAGCCAGAGGGGGGCAAAAAGCAAGCUGACCCACCAAGUAGAAGAGUAAUGUUUGUUGUUUUGUUUUUUUUUAUCAAAUAUUGACAAUUCAAUUUUCAGUCCUCUGAGACUCAUUCUGUCCCUCUGUCUGCCGGGGGAGAGCUUCAUCGAGGCUGCUGUGGCCAGCAUGUUCAGGGUGCUGGCUGGAGGCUUGAGGCCAGCCUCUUCCUCUGCUCUGCCACCGUCUAGCUUUCCCUAACCCCAGCAACCAAGCCUCGGGAGACAGGGAGGAACGGUGGAAUAACCUACAUCAGGGACAGAUGUGUCCCCACCUCCUGCAGAGGAUGUCUCCGGCCCUGACUUCACCUUCAAAACACAGUGGAAUCAACCCGCACGUAAAGUGCAGAAGACAGGGAGGCCCGGCUGGCUGCGUGUGGCUAUCGGGAACAGAAGACGCUGGAAUACUUCGUGGCAGAGGGUUAUCGAGCGAAGGAUGCUGCUCUGUCCUGGAGUUGGCAGAGUCCUCAAUAGAGGGGAGGAGGGAAUGGAUAUGGUGUACCUACCCACAAAGGGACAGUCCCUGUCUAAGCACUUGGCCCACAA
rnacentral:sRNA from 1 species